UACGUAGGGUGCGAGCGUUGUCCGGAAUUAUUGGGCGUAAAGGGCUCGUAGGCGGUUUGUCGCGUCGGGAGUGAAAACCUUGGGCUUAACUCAGGGCUUGCUUUCGAUACGGGCAGACUAGAGGUAGGUAGGGGAGAAUGGAAUUCCCGGUGUAGCGGUGAAAUGCGCAGAUAUCGGGAGGAACACCGGUGGCGAAGGCGGUUCUCUGGGCCUUACCUGACGCUGAGGAGCGAAAGCGUGGGGAGCGAACAGG
rnacentral:rRNA from 1 species